rnacentral:lncRNA from 1 species
UCAAAGUGUGAUGAAGUGCUAAUAGCAAGUAACCAAGUUAUGUGGCGUAGAUUCGACGAUUUCUUAAUUAAAUUAAAAACUAAAAAUAAUAAGAAAACAGGGAUUGCAAGACUGUAUUGGAUAUGGGUUGGAAACAAUUGUAAUGCAAUUCCUUAGAUUUUAAAUCCCCAUAAGCUAUCCAUACAAACAAACGAUAUCCAACUUAUUUAAUUUAUACAAAAUAAGAUAAAUACAAUUUACUGUCGCAAUUCUUCUCUGUAGGGUCACACCCUUUUGGGACCGCUAACCUACUACCAAUCCUAAAAUCUCAGUCUGCUCUCUCGAGUCAGGAUCUGAAACCUGUACGACGAUAAAUCAAAUGAGAAUUGCACUCUUGGCGGACUAGUCUAAUCGGCCCUUAUUAGUGUUAACAAUUAACCUAGUUGAUUAAUGUUGAGGUUCUAAGAUAGGCAAGCUCUUUCGAGUCAAAACAAAUCUAACAAGAUCUUAUUCAGCUUGACCAAACAAGAAAAGAACAUAAACGAAAUCAAUUAUAAACCGAAAUUCAUCCAACUCGCAUAAAUCAUCAAAGUCAAAUAAUCAUUAUUUCAUAAGGAAUCACCUAGGGUUCAUACAAUAUAAGCUGAAUGGAGGUUAGCUACUCAUAGUCACGAAGAAUAAAUCACAAUCAACAAAAGAAACCAUUGAAACUAAGUUUACAAGAAGAAAUCUCAAAAACCUAAUCCUACCGAUCUUAGUCGAAGAACUUGAUUUGAUAAUCUUGAUACUUCGUCGUCGAUCCAACUUCUCGAAGUUAAUGUCUUCUCGCCACUCAAAAGUCUCUCAACUCUCUCUCAAAUUUGGUCAAAAAACUCGCCAUAAACUAAAGGAGGAGCCCUUUAUUUAUAGGAUUCGAGUUCCUUAUCCCAGCUGGAUUUGGUCGUAUAUUACUUCU